GAAGGGGUAAGGUAGCCCGGGGGAAGGGGGGAGUUCUAGAGCAGCGCUGACCUUUUGUUACAAAAUCCCAAACCUCACUGAAGCUUUGCUAUAAACCCAGAAUUGGUCCAGGCUCUUCCAAAGGUCGGUGAACACGGCCCGAGUUUCAGUAGGGAUACGUCUACACUACAAGCACUACAGCAGCGCUGCUGUAGCACUGUCAUGCAGCAACAGAAGGGGCUUGUCCAUCGCUGGAGUAACUCCACCUCUCCGAGAGGCCAUGCCUAGGUCGACGGAAGAAUGGGCCUUGUUGCUGAUUCCGUACAAAGAAAGUUGACAGAAGACAUUCAUUUAAGACCCAAGAUAUUCAAAGCAAAAUUUCAUUCAAGAGGACACAGAAACAUUCUUGCAAGCUUAUACAAAACAAGUUACUUGAGGCAAACGAAGCACUCCAGAGAGAAGUAUUUGUCCUGGCAAGAAUAUUUAUAAAUGAACCAUUAAUAUUAUGACAUUGUACCAACAGCAUUGCAGGUUGCCUGUUUUCC